GAUGAACGCUGGCGGCGUGCCUAAUACAUGCAAGUCGAGCGAACGGACGAGGAGCUUGCUCCUUUGACGUUAGCGGCGGACGGGUGAGUAACACGUGGAUAACCUACCUAUAAGACUGGGAUAACUUCGGGAAACCGGAGCUAAUACCGGAUAAUAUUUUGAACCGCAUGGUUCAAUAGUGAAAGACGGUUUUGCUGUCACUUAUAGAUGGAUCCGCGCUGUAUUAGCUAGUUGGUAAGGUAACGGCUUACCAAGGCUACGAUGCGUAGCCGACCUGAGAGGGUGAUCGGCCACACUGGAACUGAGACACGGUCCAGACUCCUACGGGAGGCAGCAGUAGGGAAUCUUCCGCAAUGGGCGAAAGCCUGACGGAGCAACGCCGCGUGAGUGAUGAAGGUCUUCGGAUCGUAAAACUCUGUUAUUAGGGAAGAACAUAUGUGUAAGUAACUGUGCACGUCUUGACGGUACCUAAUCAGAAAGCCACGGCUAACUACGUG
rnacentral:rRNA from 1 species